rnacentral:rRNA from 1 species
AGUGUGAUGAGGUACUUUUUGUAGAACGGUCCGGCGAGUUAUAGUAACGAGCAAGCUUAAGGUAUUCAGUACCGGAGGCGAAGCGAGAGCGAGUCUGAAUAGGGCGCAUAAAGUUCGUUGCCAUAGACCCGAAACCGGGUGACCUAACCAUGAGCAGGCUGAAGUGAGAGUAAAAUCUCAUGGAGGGCCGAACGCACGUUCGUUGCAAUGACCGGCGAUGACUUGUGGUUAGCGGAGAAAUUCCAAUCGAACUCGGAGAUAGCUGGUUCUCCCCGAAAUAGCUUUAGGGCUAGCGUUAUCUUAGAUUACCGGAGGUAAAGCACUGAAUGGGCUAGGGGGCGAUAAGCUUACUGAACCCUAUCAAACUCUGAAUGCCGGCUAAUUGAUGAUCAGCAGUCAGACAGUGUGAGAUAAGUUUCAUUGUCAAAAGGGAAACAGCCCAGACCUACAGCUAAGGUCCCAAAUGUAUGCUAAGUGGAAAACGAUGUGGAGUUGCGAAAACAACCAGGAUGUUGGCUUAGAAGCAGCCAUUCAUUAAAAGAGUUCGUAAUAGAUCACUGGUCGAGUGACUCUGCGCGGAAAAUAUAACGGGGCUAAGCAUGCAACCGAAGCUUGGGAUUGUCUAAAGACAGUGGUAGGGGAGCGUCGUGUACGGGGUGAAGUCGCAUCGGAAGGAGCGGUGGACUGUACACGAGUGAGAAUGCCGGAAUGAGUAGCGAGAAUUAUGUGGGAAUCAUAAUGGCCGAAAAUCUAAGGUUUCUUGGGGAAGGUUCGUCCGCCCAAGGUAAGCCGGGAGCUAAGGCGAGGCCGCAAGGCGUAGUCGAUGCACAUACGGUAGAAAUUCCGUAGCCACCGAACUUUAAACCAGAAGGACACUUGCAGAUAGCGGAACCCAGCCGUUGGUUGAGCUGGGCGUAAGGGACUGAAAUAUAGUAGGGAAGUCUGCGAUGCUCAGAGGCGAGAAAAGCUCCGGUGUAUGCUAAGGUGCCCGUACCGCAAACCGACACAGGUAGAUGAGGAGAGAAUCCUAAGGCCAACGGGAGAAGGGUUGUUAAGGAACUCGGCAAAUUGACCCCGUAACUUCGGGAGAAGGGGUGCUCCAGAGAUGGAGCCGCAGAGAAUCGGCCCAAGCAACUGUUUACCAAAAACACAGGUUUGUGCUAAAUCGAAAGAUGACGUAUACGAGCUGACGCCUGCCCGGUGCUGGAAGGUUAAAAGGAGAUGUGCAAGCAUUGAAUUGAAGCCCCAGUGAACGGCGGCCGUAACUAUAACGGUCCUAAGGUAGCGAAAUUCCUUGUCAGGUAAGUUCUGACCCGCACGAAAGGUGUAACGAUUUGGGCGCUGUCUCGGCAGCAGACUCGGUGAAAUCUUAGUACCUGUGAAAAUGCAGGUUACCCGCAACUAGACGGAAAGACCCCAUGGAGCUUUACUGCAGCCUGAUAUUGAAUUCUGGUCAUACAUGUACAGGAUAGGUGGGAGACAAAGAGACGUGCACGCCAGUGUACGAGGAGUCGCUGUUGGGAUACCACUCUUGUGUGACCGGGGUUCUAACCUGGUAUCGAGAACAGGUACGGGGAGAGUGUCAGGUGGGCAGUUUGACUGGGGCGGUCGCCUCCCAAAGAGUAACGGAGGCGCCCAAAGGUACGCUCAGAUUGGAUGGAAACCAAUCGUCGAGUGCAAUUGCAGAAGCGUGCUUGACUGUGAGACAAACAAGUCGAACAGGGACGAAAGUCGGGAAUAGUGAUCCGGCGGUGCCGAAUGGAAGGGCCGUCGCUCAACGGAUAAAAGCUACCCUGGGGAUAACAGGCUGAUCUCGCCCAAGAGUUCACAUCGACGGCGAGGUUUGGCACCUCGAUGUCGGCUCAUCGCAUCCUGGAGGUGAAUUCGCUUCCAAGGGUUGGGCUGUUCGCCCAUUAAAGCGGUACGCGAGCUGGGUUCAGAACGUCGUGAGACAGUUCGGUCCCUAUCUGUUGUGGGCGAAGGAGAUCUGCGGAGAGCUGUCCUCAGUACGAGAGGACCGGGAUGGACCUACCGCUGGUGCACCGGUUGUUCCGCCAGGGGCAUAGCCGGGUAGCUAAGUAGGGAAAGGAUAAGCGCUGAAAGCAUCUAAGCACGAAGCCUACUCCAAGAUGAGAUCUCCCAUUCGCAAGAAGUAAGACCCCUUAAAGACGAUAAGGUAGAUAGGCCAGGGAUGGAAGUGCAGUGAUGUACGGAGUUGACUGGUACUAAUCGGUCGAGGACUUAAUCAG